UACAGAGGUCUCAAGCGUUGUUCGGAUUCAUUGGGCGUAAAGGGUGCGUAGGCGGCGCGGUAAGUCGGGUGUGAAAUCUUGGAGCUUAACUCCGAAACUGCAUUCGAUACUGCGGUGCUUGAGGACUGGAGAGGAGACUGGAAUUCAUGGUGUAGCAGUGAAAUGCGUAGAGAUCAUGAGGAAGACCAGUGGCGAAGGCGGGUCUCUGGGCCGAUACUGACGCUGAGGAGCGAAAGCGUGGGGAGCGAACAGG
rnacentral:rRNA from 1 species